rnacentral:rRNA from 1 species
UACGUAGGGUGCAAGCGUUGUCCGGCAUUAUUGGGCGUAAAGAGCUCGUAGGCGGUCUGUCGCGUCGGCUGUGAAAACCCGGGGCUCAACCCCGGGCCUGCAGUCGAUACGGGCAGACUAGAGUGCGGUAGGGGAGACUGGAAUUCCUGGUGUAGCGGUGAAAUGCGCAGAUAUCAGGAGGAACACCGGUGGCGAAGGCGGGUCUCUGGGCCGUAACUGACGCUGAGGAGCGAAAGCGUGGGGAGCGAACAGG